rnacentral:misc_RNA from 1 species
UUAAUUGAUUGGUGUGUUUUCAGACAGCAAUGAUAGAGAAUUUAAAAUCCUUUGGCGAGCGCUGGUCGACAAGUCGACAUGCGUGAGCAGGGCUCGCCAAAGCAACCGAGAUAUGUAAACACAGGGUGAAGAGUAGGGCCGAAACCCCGGGAGCGAACUCCCUUCUCUUUAAUGAUCCUUCCGCAGGUUCACCUACGGAAA